UACGGUCGCAAGAUUAAAACUCAAAGGAAUUGACGGGGACCCGCACAAGCGGUGGAUGAUGUGGAUUAAUUCGAUGCAACGCGAAAAACCUUACCUACCCUUGACAUGGCAGGAAUCCCGGAGAGAUCUGGGAGUGCUCGAAAGAGAACCUGCACACAGGUGCUGCAUGGCUGUCGUCAGCUCGUGUCGUGAGAUGUUGGGUUAAGUCCCGCAACGAGCGCAACCCUUGUCAUUAGUUGCUACGAAAGAGCACUC
rnacentral:rRNA from 1 species